rnacentral:rRNA from 1 species
UACGUAGGGUGCAAGCGUUGUCCGGAAUUAUUGGGCGUAAAGAGCUCGUAGGCGGUUUGUUGCGUCGGCUGUGAAAUCCCGAGGCUCAACCUCGGGUCUGCAGUCGAUACGAGCAAACUAGAGUGUUGCAGGGGAGACUGGAAUUCCUGGUGUAGCGGUGAAAUGACGCAGAUAUCAGGAGGAACACCGGUGGCGAAGGCGGGUCUCUGGGCUGACACUGACGCUCAUGCACGAAAGCGUGGGGAGCAAACAGG